rnacentral:rRNA from 1 species
ACGGGUGAGUAACGCGUGGGAAUCUACCCCUUACUACGGAAUAACGCAGGGAAACUUGUGCUAAUACCGUAUGUGGCCGAGAGGCGAAAGAUUUAUCGGUAAGGGAUGGGCCCGCGUUGGAUUAGCUAGUUGGUGGGGUAAAGGCCUACCAAGGCGACGAUCCAUAGCUGGUCUGAGAGGAUGAUCAGCCACACUGGGACUGAGACACGGCCCAGACUCCUACGGGAGGCAGCAGUGGGGAAUAUUGGACAAUGGGCGCAAGCCUGAUCCAGCCAUGCCGCGUGAGUGAUGAAGGCCCUAGGGUUGUAAAGCUCUUUCACCGGUGAAGAUAAUGACGGUAACCGGAGAAGAAGCCCCGGCUAACUUCGUGCCAGCAGCCGCGGUAAUACGAAGGGGGCUAGCGUUGUUCGGAUUUACUGGGCGUAAAGCGCACGUAGGCGGACUAUUAAGUCAGGGGUGAAAUCCCGGGGCUCAACCCCGGAACUGCCUUUGAUACUGGUAGUCUUGAGUUCGAGAGAGGUGAGUGGAAUUCCGAGUGUAGAGGUGAAAUUCGUAGA